UGUUUUGAAGGGGUCUUCUCUUCGACUUAGGCUGAUCUGCUCGCGAUCUAGUGUGAACAAGACAGCCGUCUGAUUCUGUUGAAGUUGAUUUGGAGCUUAGAUUUGGGGCCAACAUUACGGUCUAGAGUUUUUGGGCUGUGUUUGUGGUUGUGGUGGUGGUGGGGGUUCCAUACAUCUUGUUUAGUGAAUUGUCGUCGGCUUCAGUUGGAGUUAUUUCCGGUGAAAGGUUUCGCUAUUCAUUGAGACAGCAAGGGAUAAGUGACUGGUAAAUCACUUUGCUUUUGGGGUUGUGUUUCGUUAGUUUAUGAUAAGCAAGUGGGUGGUUUUGUGUUGACGGUUAGGGUUUUUGGUUCAAUUAUGUUGCUGUUGUAGGGAGUUUACUUUGGAGGUGUAAAAUUUGCAUUUCGGAACUUAGAGGCUAUAAAUCUUAAUUUAUUUGAACUAUUUAUCAACUUUGAAGGUGAGUUAUUUAUUUAUUUAUUUAUUUAUUCUGGGC
rnacentral:misc_RNA from 1 species